UACGGAGGAUGCGAGCGUUAUCCGGAUUUAUUGGGUUUAAAGGGUGCGUAGGCGGCUUUUUAAGUCAGCGGUGAAAUUUUGCAGCUUAACUGUAACAGUGCCGUUGAUACUGGGGAGCUAGGAUUUGGUUGCUGUGGGUGGAAUGUGUGGUGUAGCGGUGAAAUGCUUAGAGAUCACACAGAGCACCGAUUGCGAAGGCAGCACACUAAGUCAUUAUUGACGCUUAGGCACGAAAGUGUGGGGAUCAAACAGGAUUAGAUA
rnacentral:rRNA from 1 species